CCCCACAAAAAGCCCACGUCCAUUAUUUGAAAAAUUAACUCCAAUUUUGGCUUGAAACUUAUUUUGGGCUUCUCAAAGUUAAAUUAGCCCAAUUCUCCAUGGAGUGAGUAAUUUCUUGUCUUGAGACUCAAUCCCCAUCAUCGGACUAAUUUUCUGCGGCAAGAAACCAGCACCUUUGAUUCUAAAGCAGGAGAAAGCUGAGAAGUGACCUUAUUCGAACUCUUCGCUGCCAACUUCCCUUUUUAAUCCCAUCUUGUCGUGGAUAGAGGUUGAACAAAUAGAUGAAAAUGGAGGGUAUACUUUCGAUAAUUUGAUGAAGGUGACAGCUUGCAAAUUAUGUUAAGGUAUCAA
rnacentral:lncRNA from 1 species